GAUGAACGCUGGCGGCGUGCUUAACACAUGCAAGUCGAACGAACCUUCGGGUUAGUGGCGGACGGGUGAGUAACCCGUGGGAAUCUGCCUUCGGGCGGGGGAUAACGGCUGGAAACGGCCGCUAAUACCCCAUAUGCCGCGAGGUGAAAUGAAUUUCGCCUGAGGAUGAGCCCGCGUCUGAUUAGCUAGUUGGUGGGGUACAGGCCUACCAAGGCGACGAUCAGUAGCUGGUCUGAGAGGAUGAUCAGCCACACUGGGACUGAGACACGGCCCAGACUCCUACGGGAGGCAGCAGUGGGGAAUUUUCCGCAAUGGGCGAAAGCCUGACGGAGCAACGCCGCGUGAGGGAUGAAGGCCUCUGGGCUGUAAACCUCUUUUCUCAAGGAAGAAGACCUGACGGUACUUGAGGAAUAAGCCACGGCUAAUUCCGUGCCAGCAGCCGCGGUAA
rnacentral:rRNA from 1 species